CUUAGGUCUAGCGUGGCGCUCACUCUCCUGCUGCUGCCUGUGGACCAAGAUGCAGAGUUAUCGGCUCCUUCUCCAGCAUGUCUACCAUGUCCCACCGUGACGCUAGGACUACACCCCUGAAACUGGAAGACAGCCCCACAAAAGUGAAGAUGUCUCUAUCCACUGUACUCUAUUCCCACCACCCACACUGACCACAUGCUGGACCAGUGGACAAGGACACAUCAUUAUUGCCUCACCCACACUGACCACAUGAUGGACCAAUGGACAAGGCCACAUCAUUAUUGCCACCACUCAUGCUUACUGCCAUCACCCACACUGACCACAUGAUGGACCAAUGGACAAGGACACAUCAUUAUUGCCACCACUCAUGCUUACUGCCACCAUCCACGCUGACCACAUGCUGGACCAGUGGACAAGGCCACAUCAUUAUUGCCAUCACCCACACUGACCACAUGAUGGACCAAUGGACAAGGACACAUCAUUAUUGCCACCACUCAUGCUUACUGCCACCAUCCAUGCUGACCACAUGCUGGACCAAUGGACAAAGCCACAUCAUUAUUGCCACCAUCCACGCUGACCACAUGCUGGACCAAUAGACAAGGCCACAUCAUUAUUGCCACCAUUCAUGUUGACCACAUGAUGGACCAAUGGACAAAGCCACAUCAUUAUUGCCACCAUCCACACUGACCACAUGCUGGACCAAUAGACAAGGCCACAUCAUUAUUGCCACCAUCCACGCUGACCACAUGCUGGACCAAUGGACAAGGACACAUCAUUAUUGCCACCAUCCACGCUGACCACAUGCUGGACCAAUGGACAAGGACACAUCAUUAUUGCCACCACCCAUGCUGGCCACAUGCUGGACCAAUGGACAAGGACACAUCAUUAUUGCCACCACCCAUGCUGACCACAUGCUGGACCAAUGGACAAGGCCACAUUUUUCAGCAUCCCAGAGACCAAGCAAUGAGACCAUCGACACGACAAACCGGAGAAGCCAGUAGCAGCCCCACUGAUUGAUGCUCAGGCCGGUUUAAUCAACGCCUCCAGCUCCAACACUGAGCACGGCAGUGUGAGGACCACAUCUGUUCAGACUGGCUCUGGAGGCUCAGCAUGGCCGUUUCUCAGAAACACCAGAUCUGACGGACCUGGGGCCCGUCCAGACUGCUGUUGCAGCUGGUGGCCCUCCUGGGUGCUCUCGCUGUGAGGAUGUCACUGGGAGAUAACUAAUUCAAGAAAUCAAAGGCACGCCAUACCAACCAAGCACAUGUUAACUGUCUGCGGUUUCUAAUUUUGUUUGUGUUUAUAGGCUCACGGCUAGGUGGAGAGGUGGCUUUUGUCUUUAAUCCCAGCACCCAGGAGGCAGAGGCAGGUGGAUCUCUUGUGAAUCUGAGGCCAGCCUGGUCUACAGAUCGAGUUCCAGAACAGCCGGGGUUACACAAAGAAACCCUGUCUCAAACAAACAUACAAACAAAUAAUAAAGAAUAAACUCCAUGAAUUCAUGCAUACUUAA